CCUACGGGUGGCUGCAGUGGGGAAUAUUGCACAAUGGGCGGAAGCCUGAUGCAGCGACGCCGCGUGAGGGAUGACGGCCUUCGGGUUGUAAACCUCUUUCAGCACGGAAGAAGCGAAAGUGACGGUACGUGCAGAAGAAGCGCCGGCUAACUACGUGCCAGCAGCCGCGGUAAUACGUAGGGCGCAAGCGUUGUCCGGAAUUAUUGGGCGUAAAGAGCUCGUAGGCGGUUUGUCGCGUCUGCUGUGAAAGCCCGGGGCUUAACCCCGGGUGUGCAGUGGGUACGGGCAGACUUGAGUGCAGUAGGGGAGACUGGAAUUCCUGGUGUAGCGGUGAAAUGCGCAGAUAUCAGGAGGAACACCGAUGGCGAAGGCAGGUCUCUGGGCUGUUACUGACGCUGAGGAGCGAAAGCAUGGGGAGCGAACAGGAUUAGAUACCCCUGUAGUC
rnacentral:rRNA from 1 species